UCUCUAUCUAUCCAUUAUCUAUCUUUAAUCUGUCUAUGUACCAUCUAUCACCUAUCUACCCACCUAUCUAUGAAUUAUUGAAAGAAUUGAAUGAUUCCAUUGUUGGGGAAUGGUAGUCCUCUUCCUACAUACCAACCUUGACCCAAAAACAAGGCCUUUGAUUCUCCUCUCCAGUCAGUGGGUGUUAGAGUGAGAACUUGCUUUCUCUCCCCUCUCUGACUGCUGCCCCCAAGGGAGGGGAGCUGCAUUUUGAUUGAUGAGAGCCUGGUUGCAUCGGGCCAUGUUUUGCUGGAGUAUGGAUCUUGCACAGAAAAGCCGCCCCAGGCCUUGUUCUUCUCUCUAGUUCUCCAGGAAUCUCUGACCUGCUUGAGUCUAGGCAUAGUGGACACAUGAGCUUUCAGUCACCCCUGGUCAAUGGCCACCCCCAAGGAGACCUGCCAUUCUCUAGCUUCUCCAUUUGUAUCUGGGGAGGUAAAGGUGGAGGGGAGAUAAGUCAGGGAAGACCAACCUGAGGUAACAAAUGGAUGCCCAAAACUCAGUGGCUUUGUACAGUAGAAGUUCAUUUCUAACUCACUUACCAGUUCUGGGAGGGUGUUGGGGUCAGCAGGGAGCUCACCCCGAAAUGAUCCCCAGGUGCCACCAUCCUCUAGGGCAUCAUUGACAUUCAUAUGCAGCGGGCUAAAGAUGAAAGCAUGAUGGAUCCUCCCAGAAGGUUUUCAUGGGCCAGGCCUGAAAAUGACGCACACUGCCUCUGCUCACACUACAUUGGAGAGAACUCAGUCACACAGAGUCACAGGCUGGAUUCAGGAAGCAGAUGUUGACAUGAAGGUUAUUAGGAAUCAACACCUGUGAAAGGAGAGGGGGAGGAAACAGAAUUGGGCAGAGGGAGGAGUCAGACUGUAACACAGUCCUGACAAAGCAAUGGUCAAUCCAGUGGGGAACUGUGGAGCAAAUAUUGACCAUGUGAGUUGUCCUCUAUUGGGCCACAAUGGCCGGGCGUCGCUGUCGUGCCUCACACAGUCGGGUGGCUCCUGGGAGGGUGUGACAUUGGGCGAGGCAGCUGUCUGCAGCUCAGACCAACCCUGAAGGAGCUGACAGCCGGAGACUGUCUGCUGACUGUACUUCCUGCCUCUGGGGUGCAAGAUCCUUCCUUGAAAGGGCAUCUGGAGGUGCAUCUGCACAUCUACCAUACAUGGCCACACCUGACUGCGAGGGAGUCUGAAAAAUGUGGUCCAGCCGCCUAAGAAGAGGAGAAAGCCGAGCCUGGUGACAGCUUAGCAGGCAGGUUCACCCUCAACAGACGGGUUCCCUAAAUCCUGCCUUGUGCUCAAGAAGGCUGAAUGCAGAGGUAUCCAUGCCAAGACUGCACUAAGAGAGUUCCAGCAACCUCUUUGCUAACUCUGCUUUACUGCUUGGGAACACAUCAAUUGUCAAAAUUCCGUUAGGAAAUGAAGUGAUGUUGGCCUGGUUCCUCUCAGCUACCCUGGCUUCCUCCAACGGAGAGGGACAGCAGUCACCCCCUGUCAGAAAGCCUGGCCUGAGAUGAAGGAAAGAACUGCCAACACAGUGGGGUGCAGGAGAAGCCAGAGGCCCACCUGCCCCAAAUUACCUACCUCCUUGGGCUGCUUCUGUGCUCGGAACUCCUGCCACUGGCUUCUCUUGCCCGGAUCAAGGCCCAGUCAGAAACAUGAAUUUGUGAGCUGAGGAUUCACUUUGGGCAGGAGUACCAGCAGCUUUCUUGACAAUCACAUGGGGAGAGCCAGUUGGAGGAAUGAAACCUUAUAGAGACAAGAUGAGCAGAGAGGUAGAGAAAGAAAACCAACUGUGAUGAGCCCCUUGCUCCAGUGUGCCUCAAGCCACCCGUAUCUCUGGACCUUCCAGUUACGUAUUUUCAAACCUCAAAAUGAAGAGAGGAAGUUGGAGUGAGUGAACCCAGAGUUCAGACAGCUACACCUCCAGCUCCCACCUGUGCUGACCAGCUCCUUCCCUGCCUCCUGCCCACACACCUCCAUCUGACUGGCUGCCAUAUUGGGCUGGGAAGAGAGAAAGGGGCAGAAGAGGAGAGAAUAAGGAAAAGGUAUUGCCUGGUGACCUUGGCCUUCCUUGGAAUGGACAGCUGGAAUAAAUACUAUCCAGAGAGCCUGCGGCUGUGGGUCCUGUCAAGCCCACCACACCCAGCACCACAAAUGCCAGCCCCCUGCAGGAACUCUCUGAGCACUUUGUGGGUAUCCAUCUCCCAGAUGACUUUCAGCCCGGUCUUGCCCACCUGGUCUCAACCUUAACUGUUUACCUGGGCUGGUCUCUGAGCAGAAUCCAUGGCUGCCCUCAAAUCAGGUUACGGCCACAGCCUCUGGGUAUUGACUCAUUCAAAGAUUACAGGUGAGCAAACAGAAGCAUGUUAAUUUUUAAUUUCACUUUGCUGACUGGUAACCAGGCUGCCUCUUUGUCCCAUAACCGAUAAUUACCUGGUCAGAAGAAACAUGCAACCACUGCCCUGCAAUGAAAGUCCACUCCUCUGGCCUUCCUGGCCCAAGCCGGGCUUUGUAAAGCAGCUCCCAUAUUGAUUGGCCUCUGUCAACAGUUAGAGAAGUAAAGGACUUUUUCUGAGUCGGGCAACCCUGGAUCAGUGUGAGACCCUAGCUGCUUGACACGAUCCUCUAAGGUUUAGAAGGGAAUUCCCAGUGGAGGCCUUUGAGGUUUGGGCUUUGGGGUAGGAAUGGGACAUUUCUUCUAAUGAAGGAGAGACUGACAGAGAAAGUGUUUCUCUCCAUGGCUCCCAGUUCAGAUAAGUCACCACCUACACAGACAUCCUCACAUCCUGGAGCCCAGGCUGUCGUCAGCGGUGACUUCACCCCAGCACAACCUGAGGGCAGAAAUCUACAGCGAGGUGUCACCUCAUCCUCACAGGAGCUCUCUAAGUCCCUUAGUUCCCAUCAUGCCAUCUCUGGGAGGUCAUGGUCAGCACCCCGUGGUGUGGAGGAGGAAACUGAGGAUAAUUGGCCUGCCCAAGGUCGCACAAUUCUUCAUAUCUUCAGGGGGUCCGGUCACUUAAAUGCAGAGAUCCGUCACAUAUUGUUCUCUUCCUUUUUCCCUUUCACUUUUUAGGACCAAAGUGGUUUCAGUUUGAAAACCAUAAUGAAUUUAACAUAGAUCAAGAAAAGCCGCAGAAGCAAUUUUUCCCAUCUGGGAAGGAACAGAAUAUACAAUUUUGUGCCAUUUGUCUACCCUGUCACUAACUGCAGAGAAAACAUUCUAACACUGUCCUUUGUGGCCUCAAGCCAUUUCCCUGGGGCUAUUGGACUAAAAAAACCCAGAGAAAUAAAAAAAUCAGAAUCUAAGUAAAACUUGAACGUUAGUCAGAGACCCGCGGCACAGGGAUUCAUUCAGCUGGUUAUUUUAAAUAAUUCACUCCAGAAAAAGACUGGUUGAGUACAUGUGCAUACAUGUAUAUAUCUCACCAACUUCAACAUCAUUCACAGAUGUUGGCAAGUGACUAAAAAAGAAGUGGAACUUUGUUCGAUGUUUAGAGAUGGGUGUACCCAAUUAUACCCACAGAAUUCGAGAACUGGAAGGAGACUGAGAAAUCAGUUAGUAGAGUAAGUCAGGGCAUGAAACCUUUUUCUGGGGGGCUGCUUCUGAGUUUCCUUAAAUUUUAUGAUCACAGGAGACAUAAACCUUGAUGUGGCUGGAGAGGGAAAUGAAGGGGUAUAUGGAGCACGUGAUGCUAUCAUCUUUCUGCUUUAACGUCUCACAUCUCCCCCUCCUGUAGCAGCAUUUCUGUGGAACAUCAGUCUCCCGGGCUCCUCUCUGCAAAGGUUUGCACAGUCAUGCUCCUUUGGGAAAUGCUGCCAGUUACAUCCCGCUCUUGGAAAUUUGCAAUGCGCAUCCACGUAAUAAAUGCUGUUGAACCAAGCAGUCCUGGAAUAAAGAAAACCUCCUUAACUCUGUUUAAGCCAAGCUUCCAAUCUUAUUUUAUGAUUGUAUCAGGUAGGAUACAGCUGCAAGUGACAGAAACUCUGACUCAAAACUGAGAUAAACAAUAAGGACAUGGGUCCUUCACAAACCAGACGCUCAGCAAGGUAAAGCAGGUUUUGGAGAUUUCUCCUCCAGUUUUUCUGCUCUGGCGUUCUCAGUGAUGGCUUCCUCAUUAGGCCGAUCAAGACGGCAGUUCCAGGCAUCACAUUCAGGGCUGACACAUGGCAGAGGAAGAAGAGAGAGCAUUUCUUCCUGAGAAGAAACUCUCCCACAAGGACCGUGACAUCCAUUCAGGUCUCAUUGGCCAGAAUCACAUCACGUGUCCACUCCUGAGUCAGUCAUUGGCAAAAAGAAUGGCGUUUCCCUCUGACCAUUCGCCCUGAAGCUGGAGGUGAGUCAGCUUCCCUGAAGCAGGUGGCUGCGUGGAGGUGGAAUAUAUUCCUGAACAAAACUGGAGCUCUGUUGGGAAGGCAGCGCAGAAUGGGCAGGCAGUCAACAGUGUCCACUCCAACUGCAGACUCCCUUUCACACUUAACACCCUGUGAUGGCCAAUUCUAUGUGUCCACUUGACUGGUCCGCAGGGUGCCCAGAAAUUUGCUCAAACAUUAUUCCGGGCGUGUCUGUGACGGUGUCUCUGGAUGAGAUUAACAUCUGAAUCGGUAGACUGACUAAAGCGCAUUGCCUCCCCAAUGUGGGUGAGCUCAUCCAAUCCGCUGAAGACCUGAAGAGAAUGAAAAGACUGAGAAGUGAACUCCUCCUGCCUGACUACCUGAGCGAUGACACUGGUUUCUCCCAGUGUUUGAACUUUAAACAUCAGCUCUUCUUGGGUCUCCAGCUUGCUGACUGCAGAUCUUGGGACUUAUCAGCCUCCACUUCCUGAGAAUAAGUCUUUUCUUUUUACACAUAUAUACACAUAUGUGUAUGUGUGUGCAUGUUGUUGUUGUUCCUCUUUGAGACUUAGCACAAUAUGUGGUACUUGACUAGUGCUCAACAAAUGCUCGCGAAUGACUGGCUGACUGAUCUUCAUACCUAAGGAAACUGAAAUUCCGACAGGGUGAAGUGAGAAGCACAAUAUCACGUAGAAAGGAAGUGCUAGAACUUGGAACCUGGGUCUCCUGACUUCUGAAAUCAGGAGCUCUGCAUGACACCUAGAGGUUGCAUCCCACCAUGUGACAGCAUUCCUGUUACUCAGGUCAACAAACUUUUAUUGAACACCUAUUAUGUGCCAGACACUCUUCUGGGGAUCCAUGAUGAAGAAGACACAAUCCCUGCCCUCAAGGUAACAGAUUGCCUUCCCCUGGACCAAAGCCUCCAGCUGGCCUCCCUGCAUCCAGGCUUCUGCUCCUCCCAUCCAUCCCUCAGGGCACCACCAGAAUGACUUCUUGGUUUACAUGCUUCAAAAGCGAUGGCUUCCUGGGAAUAAUGUGCACACUCCUGGCCUUCCAUUGUGGUAACCCAUCCAUAAUCUAACUUCUCUUACCCACACAGACUCACAUUUGACCACUGGCCAACUCAACCUUUCUCACUGUGGGGACAAGACUGCUCACUGCCCCACAAACCACACAGCAGACUUCUUUCCAUCUCCACACCUUUGCUCCUUUGGUGCCUCCCAGCUGACAAACUUUCAUCACUUCUCAACUUGUAACUGGCAUGACCUACUUCAUUAGCUUGGAGUACAAGCAUAUUCACUUUUUCUUCCUCAAUUAAACCCUUGGAGGUCUUACAUGUUUCUAUUAGAAUUAUAUUUCCAUCUUUAUGAUCUCCUAAAAUUUGUACAAGAGUCCCACGAGCUUUCUAAGUAAAAUGAAA
rnacentral:lncRNA from 1 species